UCUCUCUUCCUCCCAUGGACCGCCGUGUUCGUACAAACCCAUUCCUCUCCGAACAGGAAGAUCCCGAAGCCACCUCCGACGACGGCUUACCCGAAUCACCCUCCGACUGCAAUGACUCAAAACCCACCGCUGCUCCACCUCCUAAGAAGAGGUCUCUUUCAAAUUCAAUUCAAUUUCAUUUCCCUUUCUUUUUUUCUUUUUAUAAGAAAUACACACACACACACACAUAUUUUAAUUUUAAUUUUAAUUUAACUGUUUUUGUUUUUGUUUGGGGAUUUUUCUUGGAUACUUACAGUAGAAGGGGAGUGCAGAAGAGAGUGGUGUCCGUACCGAUCACUGACGUGGAAGGAUCUAAAAGCAAAGGGGAGGCAUAUCCACCGUCCGAUUCAUGGGCAUGGAGGAAAUACGGCCAAAAGCCAAUCAAAGGUUCUCCUUAUCCCAGGUACAACGAUACUCAAGGACAUUUUCGGCAAUUUUGGGUCCUUUUUUUUUUUUCUUAUAUAGAAAAAGAUGAUUAUUGAUUAAUCUGUAUUAAUUUCAUUAAUUGAGCUUUUAAUUAAAGGGGAAAUUGCAUUUAUUUUAAUGCAUUAAGAUAUUAAUUUGAGCUAAUUUAAUUAAUGGAGUAGUUGAAGAAAUAGUUGAGAUUUCAAUUUUAGUCUUUGUUGGCCGCCGGCCGGCUACUGUAGGAUCUGGAUUGGAAUUGGCGCAUUUUAGCACAAAGGCGGCUUUUGCUAUUAAGCACUGGAUUUUAUUUUUAUUACCUUUUAUUUGUCGUAGUUGGGAAUUGGGAUCAUACUCAUUAUCCAACCGCUCUUUAAAACCGUGCACAACACGCUCAAUCUUUUUCACCUUUUGUUUUCCCCCUCCCCCUUUUUUCUUUUACCUAAUUAUUGCUCUAUUUACUCCCCAAUUCAAUUCUCGAUGCCUGUAUUAUAAAUUUGUUUUUCUUACCUAAUUAUUACAUAAAUUUUAUAAUUAAAAUGAUAAUUGAAUUUUGUCAUUUUAAUUAAUUUUGAAUAAAACAAAAUUACAAUAUUAUUCACAUCCAGGGCGUAACGGUGAUUGGCGGCCAAAGGAAAGGUCUUUGAAUUAUUAUUGUUUUUGGUCGGCAUUGAUAAAUCAAAUAGUCAAAUUGAUUUUUCAAAAAACAACAAGGAAAAAGAUAAAGGAGAAAGAAAUAGUCAUAGUCAAAUAGUUAUAUUUCCUACGUUUUUAAUAAUACAAAUAAAUUAUCCAUAUUGUACCCUACAUCAUUUCAACUUUGAACUUAGGCAUGAAAUUAUAUAAAAUUUAUACUCCAAAACAAAUAUUAUAUCCUAAUUUAUACGUAAUAUUAAAACUUUGGACAUAUCAAUUGUUAUAGAGUAAAAAUAUAAUCGUUCAUGUUAUUUGGAUAAUUGGCUAUCGAUUCUAUCACCUUUGUCUUUAUCUUUGUUUUUCUUAAAACGAACUUCGUUUUUUACUUAUGCAGUAUUUAUUUUAAUGAUGAUGGAAAAAAGUUUUAACAUUUGAUUGAUUAUAAUCUCACGUUUUUUUUUUUUUAAUUUAUGUAAAUAUUUUUAUAGGGGAUAUUAUCGAUGUAGUAGUUCCAAGGGAUGCCCAGCAAGAAAGCAAGUAGAGAGAAGCCGUGUGGAUCCCACCAAGCUCGUUAUUACCUACGCCUUCGACCACAACCACCAACUCCCGGUCACCAAAUCUCACCACCACCACCAUCAUAAUUCCUCCCCGUCCUCUGCCGUGAUCGCCGCCGUAUCUGCCGCAACCGACUUUCCUUCUCCAGGGAGCACUACGACGUCGUCCUCCACUUCAUCCGGCGACAACACCAACGCCGCCCCGUCGUCUCCGGCGGCGAAGUUUGAGGAGGCGGCUGCGGUUUUCGCGAGUCAGCCGGA
rnacentral:lncRNA from 1 species